UCCUGCCUCAUCGCAGUACGGGCGUGGAGGCGGUCCACCUGCGUCUGUACGAAUCAGUCGGAACUCUGCCUGGUUUUGAUGCGAACGAAUUGAGCUGAACUUGCUUGGUGUAGAUAAUGGUUGAGAAGACCCACUUGUAUUUCUCCUGAACCCAACACAAUAGUGGCACAGCGUUGGUGCUCAGUGAACAUUUAUUGGAUAGAUAGGAACUCUUCGACCCUCUAUCUUACCCCUCACCCUUCCCUCACGUAUGUGUGGGUUGACCAGAUGCCCUGAGAUACUCCAGGACUUAUGUCACGAACCUUACAGCCAGCUGUGGUUCCAAGUGGACAGCCUGGUAAGGACCUCACUCUUGGUAUCUGGUGCAGUAAUUUUUUCACCAAUUUGUGAAAGAUUGGGCUGCCAAAAUGGCUUUAACAUGCUGCAUUUUGAGGAUUCUCACUCACAUUGAAACCAGGCUGGGUUUCAGAUUCUGAGCUACCAGCAGUCCCCUGCAGAUGCUUGAGCUGCAAGCAUGGGCCCAGGCAUUGGCUUGCACUGCUCUGUUCAGACCACACUGCCUCUCUGACCUACUGCAGCCAGAGCAGUGGAGAGAAGGGCAGUUGAUGGCCUUGACUCUGUGUAUUCUGCAGCCUCUUCCCCAGCUGGCCACCGGCAUGGUCACCUCACUCCCUUUGGCAAAAGCGGCCAUGCCUGUCUCCUCUGCGGACUUCUGAGAUGUUGCUCUGCAAUGCCAGCGCACUCUUCCCACUGAUGUCUUUGUGAAGCUUUGUAUUUCCCAGUCUUGACUCGCCUCAAGCAGAACACAGCUAAACCUGUGAGAGCAGAACCCGCAGAGGGUCUAUUAGAAGUGGUGAGAUGUUUAUAAGGAGGCGGCACAUUCUGAAAAAAGGUAGCACUUACUGGCAACACCUGUAACACUGGAGCAAACUUCAUUACUCAGAAAUUCUUAUUUUAAAAAGAGGUUAAACCUGUAUUUUUGUGUGACUUUUUUCACUACUGGGAAGUUGUCUGUCUUGGAUUUGGAAAGGACAGCUUUUAUUAGAUGAUAAAUCGCUUGCUCCCAACAAAGCAAUGUCUUUAGCGGAGCUAAAUCAAAUAUAACAUAAACUCUGGUUUCCCUUAACACCUCUGACAGAAACCACAAGGCCAACUUACUUCACAAAGCUACGAUAGGGAACACAUCUCAUCCCUUUUCUCUGUAAAAUUGAAAAGAAUCUGUUCUGUACCUCCACUUUUCGGACGUGGUGGGCAAUUCAAUCUCAUUGUUUUACUGUGGUUCUGAUUCUGUCAGGGCUCUCCAGGCUAACGUCCCGGUGGAGUGCCCAAGACCAGAACACUGGGGAGCAACCCUCUGAACUCCUGUCCACACUCCUGUCCACAGUGCAGGGAAGUCUACUGGCUGCUGAGUCACAUGUUCCCUUUACUGGAGAGAAGUUCUCAAUGAAGUUGUUUGCAGUUAUAAACUUGCUCCUUACAUACCGAUUUAGCUGCAUUCCACAAGUUUUGCUAUAUAUUAUUUUCAUUAUGGUUAAAGUCUAAGCAUUGUCUAAAGUUUUUUUUUUAAGGUAUUGUCUUUAUUUUUUUGUUUGUUUUGGCUGUGCAUGUGGCUACCCUCUAGCUGCGGCACUCGGGCUUCUCUUUGGUUUCUCUUGUUGUGGAGUACAGCUUCUAGGGCACGUGAGCUCAGUAGUUGUGGUUCCUGGGCUCUAGAGCAUGGGCCCAGCCGCUCCACGGCAUGUGGAAUCUUCCCAGACCAGGGAUGGAAUCCAUGUCUCCUGAAUUGGCAGGCAGACUCCUUACCACUCAGCCACCAGGGAAGCCCUGACGUUUUGCUUUUGUGUCUUUAUGUUGUAGUCACAUAUUCUAAUCUGUGUGAUUCUGAUGCAUUGGUAUUUGAGACUUGCUUUGCACCAGAUAACGUGGUCAGUAGUUGUAAAUAUUCCAAAUGUGCUUGAGAAAGAGAUAAACUCUCUCAUUGUUGAGCAUAUAUUUCUAAAUAUGUUUUCUAAAAUAUCUAUCAAAAUUAAGCCUAUAUUCCAAAGACUAGAGUAUGGAUAGGGAAAAAUAGUGGGGAUGUCUGGCAGCAACCACUUUAACCAAGUAAUCAAGGUGAUAAAGCAUGCUGAUGUCAUGUACUCUCUGAUAUGACAUGAUGAGAGUGGCAUUUCACCUCUGUAAUACUCUUUCCCAAAACCCAUAACUCCAGUCUAAUCAUGAGAAAACAUCAGAAAAACCCAAACUGAGAGACAUUCUACAAAAUACUUUUACCAACACU